UUUCGGGAUCCCCCGGCCCCUCGUCUCCUCCUCGGACGGCGCCGUCGCGCAGAGAACGAACCCACUCAAGCCUUCGGCGCCAGGCUCCGGGAGACUGGUUUUGGACCAUCUACCUCUGGGAGCACCGGUAGCGGGUGCCGGCCCGAGCGGCCGCAGUAACGCGAUCUCUGCCUUUGCCCGUCGUUCCCUUGCAAGGAAACCCGUUCGGCCCAGCGGCCGGGUCGCGGGCUCGCCCCGGUGCGCGCCAUCCCCGCCGUGCGCCUGCUGGGAUGCUCCAUCCCCGAGCGCCUCCCGCCAGCUUCCACCCCGAUGGUCUGCGGCACCGGUGGGAAGCGAGCGUAAAUACUCUACACAGAAGGACUGUGAAGGCUAACCUGAAACAGAGCCUUCUUGUGCCUUUUAUUCUGACGAAAACCAUUCCUCAAGGAUUUGCUUGGACAGGACGCUAUGAGCAAUCAGUAUUUUCUUUUUUGUUAGGAGCUGGCUGGUGUGGGCUCCCAGGGUCCCUCUGUUGCCAUCAGCCUGCCACACGCCAGGAGAGGCGAUACCACCACAGCCCCUGCUUUCCCUUCUCGCCCCAUCUGACGCCCUCGAGGGGCAAAACGCCCACUCCAAAAGGCAGAGGCAGAGGGAACAAUGCCAACCCAAACUCAUCUCUGCUGUUCUGCUUCCAGCCCGGCGUACUGCAUCCACCGCCAUCACAGUCCCUGAGCAGCAGCUCUGCUUCCGAUCCAAUGAUUUGUCAGCUAUGAAGAACACAAACAUGGUGAUUCUUUGCCAUUGGAAAGCCAUGUGGAUAGAUUGCUUGGAGACUUCUAAAAGAAGCUUGACACGGGUCAGGAAACCAUUUCCAGAUCUUUAAGGGAAAAAAAUUAGAGUGCCCAAAAGAUUUAGAAGCAUGCCAUUCCCUCCCUAUAUUCCUUUCUUGUCAGACUUUCCCCUACAAGGUAUUUACUGCAAAGAACCUGAACUCUCUGCACAGCUCCCUUGUUUUAUUCUUUUCUCCUGCAUGUCCCAGUAUUGUCCAUCUGAACGACAACCUUGUAGGACACACAGAUAUUUUGCAUGUGCUGUCUAACGAGUGGAGCCCAUGCCAUGGUGGGAGUUUUGAAAUAACACAAACAAGGAUACAUACAAUUAUCGCAAGUCUGCACUCCUUCUUCCUCUUUGUUUCACAAUUAAAGAUGUUCUGAUU